CCUACGGGAGGCAGCAGUGGGGAAUAUUGGGCAAUGGACGCAAGUCUGACCCAGCAACGCCGCGUGAAGGAAGAAGGCUUUCGGGUCGUAAACUUCUUUUAAGGGGGAAGAGCAGAAGACGGUAUCCCUUGAAUAAGCCACGGCUAACUACGUGCCAGCAGCCGCGGUAACACGUGGGUGGCAAGCGUUGUCCGGAUUUACUGGGUGUAAAGGGCGUGCAGCCGGGGAGACAAGUCAGAUGUGAAAUACACGGGCUCAACCCGUGAACUGCAUUUGAAACUGUUUCCCUUGAGUGUCAGAGAGGUAAUCGGAAUUCCUUGUGUAGCGGUGAAAUGCGUAGAUAUAAGGAAGAACACCAGUGGCGAAGGCGGAUUACUGGACGAUAACUGACGGUGAGGCGCGAAAGCGUGGGGAGCAAACAGGAUUAGAUACCCUUGUAGUC
rnacentral:rRNA from 1 species